UGGGCCGGCCGGACGGUCGCGUGGCGGGAGACCGCACCGAGGAACGUCCGGGCUCCACAGGGCAGGGCGGUGGGUAACACCCACCCGGAGUGAUCCGCGAGACAGUGCCACAGAGAGCAGACCGCCCUUCGAUCCCUGAGCUCGUCGAAGGGUCGAAGGGUAAGGGUGAAAGGGUGGUGUAAGAGACCACCGGGGGCCGUGGUGACACGGUCCGCCAGGUAAACCUCGCCCGGAGCAAGGCCAGACAGAGGAUGAUGACGCGGCUCGCCGAGUCCUCGGGUAGGCCGCUGGAGCGCCACGGCAACGUGUCGCCGAGAGAGAUGACCGUCGAAGGGGCGAAGAACCCCGGAACAGAACCCGGCGUACAGGCCGACCCAUUCA
rnacentral:RNase_P_RNA from 1 species